AGAUCGAGGCAGAUGCAUAACUGACUGAGCCACGCAGGCACCCCCGUUUGCUAGACUUUGCACAAAUCCACACUCUAAAGGUAUCACAAAAAUCCGUGCUAUUAGAAAGAUUGCAGGUCAUUAUGGGUUUGGGGAUGCAGGGAUAAUCUCACUACAUACCUUCCCAACCCUGAACUCAUGUGGUUAAUACUUUCUUUUUGCUUUGUUUCCUCUUCAAAAUAAAGCAUGGGAGUUCAAUUCGGUCAAUAAAUACUUAUUUGAUGUUAAUCUGAGCCAGAUCCUGCUUGGCACUGGGAAUAGCACAGUGAAUCAGGAAGCUCCCUCAGUUGCCUGCGGUCUGCGCUGGAGGUAGGGAUGGGGGCAGUUUGCACACGGGCCAGGCAGCGGCAGUGAAGGAAGUGGCUUUGGUGGUUCCACGUGACCGGAGCCAAGGGUGUGAUGGGAAAAGUGCCGAGAGACGGCCCUGGGGUGUGAGGCGGGUGGGCUGUGCCAAGCCAGGAAGGUUGAACCUUAUUCUGAAGGCAGUGGAGAGCCAUUUAAGGAUUUUAAGCGGGGGUGUGACAUCUCAUUUGCAUUUUGGGGAGCUUUGGGUACAUUGUUGAGAAUAGACUGAAGUGCCGGCCAGAAGCAGGGAUAACGGGGCCUGGCAGCAACCUGGGCUGGAAACAAUGUCCCUAGAGUGAUGGCAGUGGACCUGGCCAGAAGAACAGUAGAUAGCACUUACUGAGCGUUUAGUGGGUGCUGACUGGGCAUUUACUAGUCCCAUCGGGUAUUUAAGGCUUAGAGGAAGUAAGUAACCUGUCUGAGGGAAUGAACCUAACUGACAGAAUCGAGUCAGUGGUUAAAACUAUCGUGUCUGAGACAAAAGCCCAAAAGAAGAAGUGUGGGGAGUUGACGGAAACCCAGGCGGAAGGGAUGAAGGGACGCACUUCCUGAAUGAAUGCCUGGGGCUGUGAGGGGAAAAAGGGAGGAGUCAGGGAUGGCUUGGGCAGUUGGUGGAUGGCGGUGCCACCCACGGAGGUCAAGAAUAUGGUAAAAGGGGAGGUUUGUGGUGGUGGUGAGGUAGGAAAAAGUGAUGAGUUUUGGACGUGUUGACUUUGUGCGUAUGAGAGAUCCAAAGGGAAAUGGAGACACCUGGGCUGUAAAUACUAAGCACCUGUCACUUAUCUUGUACUUUGUAGGUCCCGGGGACGCUGUGCUGAAACUGAGGAACGUGGUCCUUGCUCUCGUGGCUUCGGGAAACGGGCUAGGCAACACGUAGGGUUAGUGUCGCGCGUGGUCUGUUGGGGGCACACGUGCUGCUGUGGGAAAUACAGAAGAGGGGCCUGAUCUAGUCAAGAGUUCAGGAACAGCCUCCUUGAAGAGAAGCCGAGAGCUCAGGGAAGGACGGGGGUUGGGAGAUGGGGGAGCAUCGAGGUAAGAGCAAACAGGCAAGGGCCUUGGAGCUCAUGGUAUCUGGCAGACUGGAAAGUUUAGUGUGGUUGAAAGCAGGGAAGGAGAGCGCAGUCCCGUGGGGGAGGCAGUUGGUGGAAGGGUUUGAAGAGAAUGGAGGAAGUCCGAAGCAGGAAGUCCGGGGAAGAGGAGAGAACAGACUAGCGAAACUUGCUAGGUAAUUGCCUGACGCUAGCGGGUCUCUGGACCAGGGCUCCUCAGCCUUAGCACGAUGGACAUUUGGAACUGGGAGAUUUUCUGUUGUGGGGACCGGUGUCCUGGGCAUUGUAGCAUCCCUGGCCUCUAUUCACUAGAUGCCAGUAGUGCCCCUUCCCCAAGAAAAACUGUCCACAGGCACUGCCACAUGUCGCUUGAGGAGAGAAUUACCUCUGGCUGAGAGCCAGUAAGCCCAGCCGCUGAGCGCUUCAGGAGAAAAAUCAUACAACUUGCAGAUUGCUGUUACGACGCAUUCAUGUCCCCAGCCUGGGCUCUUAGUUCUCCCUGGUUCUCCCGUUCCCCUAACAGUUGAAGUGAUGUUUCUACCCUCGAAGAUAGGAAGGAGAAAGUGAAGGCAAGUUAUUAUUUGACUUCUCUAAGUCUCAGCUUCGUCACGGGAUAAUAGAUGUUAAGUUAGCACCUAUGAAGUGUUCAAUAAAUGUUAUCUAUCAUCAUUAUUUCUGGGAGGGGCUGAUAGGAAAUGGACAGGCUGAACGAAGUUGAAAGAUGGUAUGGUAGGAGUGGACUGAGAGCAGGAACGACAGGCCGCUGUGUUCCGAGAUAGACUGAUGUUCUUUUUUAUUUUUUAAGGUUUAUUUUUGAGAGAGAGAGCGUGAGCAGGGGAGAAGCAGAGAGAAAAGAAGGCAUAGAAUCGGAAGCAGGCUCCAGACUCCGAGCUGUCAGCACAGAGCCUAAUGCAGGGCUCAAAUUCACAAACCGUGAGAUCAUGACCUGAGCUGAAGUCGGACACUUAACCUACCGAGCCACCCAGGCACCCCUAGACCGAUGUUCUAAUCACGACUUCCAAGAUUGUGAUAGAUGGUGUCAUCAAAUCAUCUGCCGCUUCUCUCCACCACGCUCCAGAGAGGGUGGGUAGUGCUCUGUGCCCUGGUGGCACCAGGCCUGUCCAUGAAAUGUCAGCGGGAAUGAAGUGUACUGCUUCUGAGCAGAGGUUCGGGGGACAUUGCGAGGGUCAGUCAGGGCUUCUUCCCUCAGCAUGAGGCUAGUGCACCCCAGAAUGAAGGCUGCCCUGUAGUCUGGCUCCAAGAUCGACGAGAACAGGGAGCAGAGCUGCGGCUGUCCUGCAGUGGGCAGAGAAACAAGACUUGGGGGGUGUGCUACUGACUUAGUCUGAGCGGACUGGCACAAAGGUGGACAAUCCCAGGUGAGGGUAGGUCCCAGGUGUGGCAUGGAGUGAGCAGUUCAAGCAUCAUGGAAGAGGAGUUUUUUGAUGUUGGUCAAUGAGGAAGGGUCCUGUGAGGCUGGGGGUGUUGGAUGGGUCAUUCCUGUGGCGUCGAUAUCACCCAGGAUGUUGGCAGGAUUGUGGGAACCCAAAAUCGAUAAUGAGUGAGCAAAAUAUCUGGAAAGUAAGCAGAUGGCACUAUAAAGGAGGUCUAAGUCUCAAAAGAGCAGAGAUUUCUGUGUGGAGGGAUAGUAGUCUGGAUGCGGUCAGGGAGGCCCGUCUCCUCUACUGAAGGUGCGUGAGGUUUGGAGAAAUGACUGCCAAGGUUCCUUGGGGGAAAGCCAGGUAUCUGUCAAUCAUCUAUUUAUUUUUGAGAUAGUGUGAGCAGGGGAGGGGCAGAGAGAGAGGGAGACACAGAAUCUGAAGCAGGCUCCAGGCUCUGAGCUGUCAGCAUAGAGCCUGAUGAGGGGCUCGAACUCACGAACCAUGAGAUCAUGAGCCGAAGUCAGACACUUAACCGACUGAGCCACCCAGGUAUCCUUUAAGCCUUAAAGAAACAGAUGAAAGCAAAAGAGUAUAUGGAUGCAGGCAGGGGGAUGUUUACCAUGAAACAGUUCAUAGAGUCGUAGUUCGUAACUUGCUUGGGGUCAAGGGGUGGGUGCUCUGGAUCGCCUCUUGAGAGAAAGGAUAUACACGCGUGUAAAAUCUUACGUGCAAACCCAGGAGGAUUUGACUACAGUUUAAACUAUAACUAACGAAUGCAUUUGGUCUGGGUAACCCCAUCUUGCCUCCUCGCACUCUGGGACUCUUCCCUUCAUCGUUAACCUUUAAAAGAGUCACUGGUGGGAAAUAAACCAUGCAUUCGAAUCAAGUUAAAGAAAUGUGAGACUUCCUGGGCCCUAAAUUGGGAAAUUUUAACUCAAAAACUCCAGCUUUAUACUGCUCAAAAGUGGGUAAAGCUGUUACCUAAAUAUGGGAUGCAUUUUGGCAAAAAUUACAUCCACUUUCUUCUCUCUCUCUCUCUCUCUGUGUGUGUGUGUGUGUGUGUGUGUGUGUGUGUGUGUGUGUGUGUGUGUUUGAAACACUUGUAACCAUCGGGAUUUCUGGAAUCCUUGGCACUGAAUCAGAAUUGCCAGUUAGCUACUUGCUGGGUGACCUUCGGCAGUUCACUUAAUGUCUCUAAGCCUCAGCUCACUGAUCUGGAAAACAGAGCUGAUGGACAAAUGAGCUAAUGCACGUGAGGUGCUUAGCACCUGAGACUUCCUUCCACUUGCUUGCAUCAGAGCUGGGGAGGCGGCUUCCUCAAAUAGGAGCCUCAAAUCUCCGGCUUCUAACCAACAGACAUAACCUGUACUGUCCACCAGAGGGCACCAGUAACUUGUAAAUCUAAGAGGAAUGUUCCUUUGCCCUUAAUUGAAUCUGCCUGAGGAUAACCCCUUAGGUUCAAGUCUUUAUUUAAAUAUUCUUGCUCUUGGUGCCUGAAGGAAUCAUUUGCAAGAUUCCUCAAAAUGCAGAAGGGAAAUCUGAAGUAAGAAGUUUAGGGUAAUUGGUGCUCUCACUCUACAUCAGCCAUCAAGAGAGUUCUAUUAACGUUGUUUUAUUUUGUCCAUUUCUACCAUCCAUUGUCUGUCUCUUCAGACUAUCUGUAACCUAGUUACAAAUUAUUCUCUCAGUAAUAAGUUGUUGCUGGUCCUUUCUUCCUGGUUUGUUCCAAUGAACUGAACUGCUGUUUUUCCCUUUGAUGUGCAGCCUCCCUCCUGUUUCCCCUAGUCAUGGCCAGCCUUCCUUCCAGCAGUGGGGGCUGGGAUCCAGUUCUGAUCCCUUUGCCUUACUGUUGAGCCUCAGAAGCCAUUUCCCUAAAUCCCUUUGAGCUGAGAGUCUAGUGAUGGAUGGGUACUCAUCACAAGAGGCUGUGUUCUGGGGGGAGGGGGGGAAGCCCUUUCUCCAUCUGAGGAGGGGAACAGCUAGGAAAAGUUGAGGCUACCAGCCACCAGAGCCUUCCUCAAAAUGUCAUGGAUUUCAGGGGAGCAGUGAUAUCCAGGGUACCCACUGCUUACUCUUUUUUUUUUUUUCUUUCUCUAAUUUGAGAGAGAGGGAGAGAGAGCAGGGGAGAAGGGCAGAGGGAGAGAGAAUCUUAAGCAGGCUCCACACUGUGUGGAGCCCCGACACGGGGCUCGGUCCCGUGACCCAGGGAUCAUGACUUGAGCUGAAAUCAAGUCGGACGCUUUCUCGACUGAGCCACCCAGGCGCCCCUGACCAUCCCCUUGUCUAGAUGGGUUGUCAUGGCUGACGUUUGCCGUGUGCUUCGUAUUGUGUCAUCUAUCCGUUUGGUUUUAUGUCAUGUGACCUCCACAACAACCCUGUGAGAGAAGUGUGGUGUUGGGCGAGUGGAGUGGACUACCCCCGCACAGAAGCACAGAGAAGCUAAAUGAAGAACAGGGAAGACUUCACCAGGGUUCCAUUUCAGUCAGCAUUGGAAGCAUUCCACAAGGCCAAGUUUUGUUCUGUUCUGUUUUGUUUUGUUUUAUGGAUUGUCCCUUGCAUAGCAGGAUAUUUAACAUCUCUGGCCCCCAAGCCCUGUCGUUAAGGUACUAAUUAUACCUUCCAGAAACCCCAGAAGGUACAGUACAGGUAGGUGGUCCUGCCACCUGUUAGAACCACUGACUUAUAUGCAUGGUCACAGGAAAAAGGAGGGUUACACAAAUUGCUUUGCUCCUCUGGUUAUUUUUAUGUUAAUGAAGGUCACUAGAUGAAGAUAACAGAACAAAAGGAAGGAGAUCCCUGGGGGUGAGCAGAACUCUGUAAGGGAAGAGGCUAUAUAUAAAGGAAGGGAAUGAGCGCUAGACCAAGGCGAUCUUCCUUUCUAAUCGCUGCUAAAACCCGGAGCGUGGACAGAGUCUGGCCUCUCAAACUCAUACCUUUAGAGACCAAUCGGUUGUCGCAGACCAGGAUGGCAGCCGGGUCAGGGGACAGAAGGGAGUGUUGGGGCUGGAGCCGUCUGGACAGCCGGGCCUACACAAAGGGUGUUUUCAUGUGGUAGCGUGGGCUCAUUGUUGCCAGCCUUUCUAAUAUUUCCAGAGAAUCCACCAGGCCAGAUUUUUAAAGGAAAUCUCUCUAUUGUAGAUAUGGGAUGUAAAAGCAGUUCUAACAUUCGUUUGGCCGAUGGAUGGCUGAGUCGGUUGAGCAUCUGACUCUUGAUUUCAGCUCAGGUCAUGAUCUCAGGUGAGACUGAGCCCUGCGUCCUGCUCUGUGCUGCUGUGGAGCCUUCUUGGGAAUCUCUCGCUCUCAAUAAAUAAAUAAAUACAUACACAUUAAAAAAAGAAAAAAAACAUUAGGUAGGCCAAGAAAAAAAAAAUGCCUGCAAGUGAAUUUGGAUCGUCUUGACUUGUGAGUCAGGUCGUCUUUGAGAGGCCAUUCCCAUCAAAGGUGCCACAGUGUAUGUCCACCGUGCUGGUGACAGAAGAGAUACAGGUUUCAGCAUACACAAAAAAGAAUUUCCUCCCCAUCCCAGCUGCAGACAGCCGCAGGGCAGGCUGGGCAGAGGACGAGCGGGCAUUCCUAGGGGCAGUGGGACCCCCAGAAGCUGAAGCAAGGAUUCCUGUGCCAUCUUUGGUCCUUUCUGGAUCUGAGAUUCUGGGAUCCUGGGGUUGUGAUUCCUCGAAGGCAGAGCUGGGAACAUGGAAACUCUAGAGCUUGGCCAGUGCCUGGAGUGCGACCAGCUCAGGCCCUGUCCUUCCCCCUGAUGUAUAGGAAUGGGGAAGAGCUGUCCCUGGAGUCCCUGCUCCCUAGAGGCCCUUUGUCUCGGUUCUCAGUACCUGAAGUUUACACAUGCAAGCUGCUCUUACUGUCUCGCAGCCAGUGGGUCCCUGACACCAACUGCAGAGCUAAACAGCCAAUUUUCCAGCCCAGCUGUUCUGCUACACUGACUUUAAGCUUAAAUGCACUUUUCUUUAAAACCCAUCAGGAGCUGUCUCCUUCCCUCUGCUCAUUUUCUUGGCGUUAAUCCAGCAGAAAGCAGGUACUCAGGAUAGCAGUACUUAACGCUUAGAAUGCUGGGGCCCGUAGGUCCUCCAUCGGACUCCACCCACCUUCCCCUUUAGGGCCACGAUAGGACGUCCAUCUGGUUUGUAAUGGAGCUCCCAGUUGCCGGUGCCUGUGCCCUCCAUGCUCUCUGGGAAGGGGUCUUGCUCUCUGGUUGGGCAGCCUGUGCCUUUAAAAGCAGUGCCUUUGCUGGUUUCUGACUUGCAGCAGUGGGAUAGUCAAAUGUGGGGGAGGAAGCAGGGUUCUGGCAACCAAACUCCUGAUGUGGAGGAGUUGAAAAGCCAGGCUGCAAAUGUUACUAUCUAACAUGCUGGGAAGUCUCUGUUCCCAUUCUUCAGAUCUAAUCCGUCUUUGGCUUCUCAAGUCCGUAACCCUUCUGCUUCUGGGCUUUGCUUACAUCCCUACAUCCGGCAUUGGGGCAGGCUCUCGGGAAGGGAGGUGGUCCCCAGCCCUGUUCCUUGCCCUUCUGGUCCAUGUGCCAGUAUAGACCAGGUUUUAAUGAACCUCAGAAUCUUCUGUGCCACAGACGGGGAGGACUGUGUAGGUGAAGGCUUUCCACAAGCCAUGGAGCACAAUACAUGGAAUAAUCUGGAGACUCGCCCCAGAGAAGGUCCUGGCUCUCCUGUCUCAGCCUCCCUCUGGCAUCCCCAGGACUCAGUCCACCCUGAUAACUGGGAGAAGUACGCAGGCCUCAGGAGCUGAGGAAGGUCAAACCUGAUCCCUGGCUUCCUGAAGGUUAACCAGUCGGAGCUCCUCCUGUGAGUUGGCCUGGAAGAUUCCAUGGCCUGGGCCAGGUGUGGCAGGGCUUGUGGACGCUGGGAUGGCCCUUGAUGCUAUGGGUCAAGGACGAUGAGUCAGGCCAGUGCAGCAUCUCUGCCAAGCUGGAAUAUAGGAGGCCUGGGCACAUGAAGUCAGGCCUGCUGGAGGACAGCGCUCAUCAGGCCUCGUCACGGCCAUGAGACUGCCCCACAGGGGACGUGGGGGCUCCGAGGAAGAAGGCAGGCCAAGGUGGGACCCCACUCGUUCGAACUGGACUGAGGUUCUCACUUCAAGUCCGGAGGUGCGGGGAGCCCCUUUGUGCUCAGUGACCUAAAAACAAGGUCCGGCCGCGGGCCGGGUGCCCAUUCUCGUGUCCCGGGACGAUGCGUUCUACCACCUUCCAGGCAGGUGCCGCUCACCUGGCCAGAGGCGCUCUUCGCCCACCUCCCCCCUGCUUCCAGGAUGCUGGGGAGGGGAGCGGCUGGAGGCGCCGUCCCUCCCCUGAGCAGGAGAGUGGUAUGCCUGUUUACAUUCGACUACCUCCCACCUUCCUCUGCAGCUAUUUCUGAAGGUGGGAAAACAACCGUGACUUAAAAUGCACAGAGGUUUUGCGUGGGGGUGUGUGUGCACUGACACGUAAAACUCAGAGCAAACAAACACACGUGCGCACACGCACGCACGCCCGCAUACACGUGCAGCGGGAGCCCAGGGAACCUGGCCGCCCAAGCUAGUGACUGGUGGGCAGGAAGAGGGCAGGGGACUCUGUGGUGUACUAUGUGGGCGGAGGAGGCAGGAACGAGCUGAGUCCCAGGACGGCCCUGUCACCGAACGGGACCUAGGCCGGUGGUCCUGUCACACGUACACAUCCCAGAGGCCCUUGCCUCCUGCCUCGACCCGGCACGAGAGAGAGCAGAGCCCACAGGCGAAGAGAUCCUACUCUGACUUCCCACCUCCUGCCAGAGCACGCUGGCAAAACGGAUCGGCUUCUCAGAGCCUCUGUUCCUUCCGUCUAACAUGAGGUUGCCGUUAGGAUUAAGGGAGCCGAGUGGGGCGCACCCAGAAAGAGCUCAAUAAAUGUCAGUUGCCUCCCGGCUCCGGUCCUCCCCCAGGGCUGGGAGGCUCUCCAGCGGUAGGACUUCUCAGGGGGAACAGAAAGUGCGUCCAGGUCCUCCACGAGCCCCUACUGGGCUUGCCCACCGUGGCCCAGCGUUGCCUCCGGGUGGCAUGGAGGAGCGAGGAACAGAAAUAGAUAACACGUCACGACAUUAACCUCCUUCACUCCGGCAGGGCUGAAAACUGCAAAGUGAUUAGAAGAGCGCAGGACAGUCCUGAAGGGCAGAGAAGCCUGCGGUGAGUGGAGAGGGGUCUCCCGCCAGGCCGGGCCGGGCCUCCCCCUUGGCCUUCAGACGCGAUCUGAGCCGCAGGGGUCUCUCCUCCACCACCUUGGCUCUAACGCCUCCGUUCUGUGGAGGCUCAGCUGCGUGGCGGGGAUGAAGGAACCACUUAAGACUGAAUUCAAAACCUUUUCCUCCACCCCACGCAGCAGCCCCUCUGGCUGGGUGGGUGAGGCAGUGCACCUGCUCCCCCGCCAGGAGCCCAGGGCGGGCGUUCGGCGCCCAGAGGGAGGCGGUGGCUCAAUGACUCACGUUCGGCCGCACCUCUGAUCCCAAGGCUUGGCAAAGGCCCAGACGAGUCCUCCCCCUCGCGUCUGAGCGCACAGCCCCUUCCAGGGAGGUAGGCAGAGCUGCCCACUCACCUGCCAUCGCCGUCUCAGGCUGUCUUGCACCUGCCCACCCGUGCAGGCUGAUUAGCAGUUUCUGCCGGGAGCUGCGGAGAAAGCUAAUUGUCUUCUAUCUGUGAUCUCCGGGGUGAGCAGGAGUUCACACGACUGCGUGGACAUUUUCCCCACCUGGAUUUCGAGCUCCUCGUGGCGGGGGCCAUGCCGCACACGCUUUCUGUGCCCCCACGGCACCAGGCGCAGGGCCGAGCACGCGGAGGGGCCUUGUCGAUGGACGCCAGUGGGGAGCCCCCCCCCCCAUCAAGCCCGCGCGUGGGCAGAGGAGGGAUUUUGUAGUCUCAUCCUGCAAGGGAAGCAACUGAGGCUCCGAUGGGUCACAUGACUCGUCAGGGGUUGCACAAAGGUCCACGUGGCGGGGCUGGGAUUCAAACCUAGGCCUCGGACUCCACAACCUGGGCCACCAGCCCAGCCAAAGCUUGCCGCCUGGCGGAUCCAGGCCGGCCUUACGGGAGCAGAGCACGGGGCUGGCCCCGUGUGCCUUCAGAGAUGACCUGGGUCCUCAGCUCCUCCGCCCCUACAGCCACCUGAUGGGCCCCGCACACACCAUUCCUUGAUUCGGGGCUAGAGCGACCCCCCGCCCCCGACUUGGGGGACAGCAGAGGGAAGACAUUGCUCCUGUGUGAGUGUGGCCGGGCCGGCACCGCAAACGGACAAACAGAGCCAGCGGGCUGCACGUGGACCUCGGCCUGCCCUCUGAUUGGGGGCUGGGGGCUGCCUGCUAGCCUUGGCCUGCAGUGACAGGAGACUGAAAGCUCUGGGGCCACAGUCAGGGAAGCAGGGCCAUCCACUCCAGGGUGGCACUGGUCCCUUACAUUUCCUGUUAAACUCGGGCCCUUGGCAGAGCAACUAAUGAAGACUUUGGGAGAAGCUGUGUCUGCGGCUGCUCCUUCCCUCCUUCUCCGUCGUCCGGCUGCUCCUACAUGACAGGGGGCUCCCCCAGGAGGUCGGUGGACGUGGGCUCUCGCCCCGCCCUCCCCUCUCUCCCCUUCCCUCCGGUGCGGCCUCCACCCAGCCUCCAGAGCUGGAGCCAAGGGUCCGGAAGGAGCAGCGGCGGUGGUGAUCGAUGGCCUGGCCUUCGCUGCUUCAGCGUCAGGUCCCCCUGAGCUGCGGAGACAGAUGGGCAGCGUAAUUGAGUGUAGCGUUGAUAAACUCCGGCCUCCUCACCGGCAGAUAAGCGCGGGGUGGGAGGGGUGCAGAGGGAGGGAGGCCAGCCCUCCAUCUGCGCACCUGGCCUCCUGCUCCUCCUGGGAGGGGAGCCCGGCCCCUCACUCCUACCUCUCAUUUAAUCGCAGACAAAGCAGGACCUCAGAGCCGGAGGCGACCUCCGCGUUUAUCUAGUCUUGCAGAGUCUGAAUUCCAUAAAUAACUUAUGCAAAGGAGGAGCGGUGGAGCGGGAGGCCCGGGCUCUGCCAUCAGAGUUGGAGCCUGGCUCUGCCGCUUGCCGUGUGACCUUGGGCCAGGCAGGCAGCCUUCGGAGCCAGUGCCUGAGCUGGGGAGCGGGGGUGACAGCCUCCUCGCAGGGCCUCGGGGAGGAGUGCGGGAGUCCCGGUGCAGGAAGCGCUGCGUUCCCUUCAUUCGCCCCCCCUCACCCCUGCCUCUCCUUCCAUCUUACCACCUACUUCUCAUCUCUCACCUCUUGUGAUAAAGAAAAAUAUUCUGAAGUGUGACAUAUGUACAGGAGAGUGACUACAUGGCCCUCGUCCGAAGCGCACGGCUCGAUGAGUUUCUCCGUGAGUAGGUACCCAGACGGCCACCACCCGGAACAAGACGUAAAUGUUUCCAGCCCUCCAGAAGGUUCCCGUGUGGCCCUCCCGGUCAGUCAAUAUCCAGCCCCCACCUGGACUUAACCAUUGUCCUGACUUCCGUCACCAUCAAUCAGUUUCAUCUUUUAAACCCAGAAUUCCUCUUCCGUCUCCAUCACAACUCGGGACCGGGGACUCUGGAAACAGUUGACUCUGGCUUUAGGGACCCCCAGAGCUUGACGCUUGAAAUUCCCUCACUUCAUCUUCCUGCCGCAAAGGGGGCUACACUUCUUGGGUUGUCUCGCGGGACCGGCCAUCUCCAGGAAGGCGGGAAGGCUGGUUCCUCUUAAUCCCUCUUUGUUCUUCCACAAUUCCCAUAUCUGGAAAUCGCUCUACACCUCGGGUCCCCCUCUCCGGGGGGGCUCCUCGGGGCUGGGUCUGUGAGUGCCAUGUGCUGAAGGCGGGAAGAGGGCGGGAAUGACCUCCUGGCCCCACGCAGCCCUGUGCCUCUCACCCGACCUCCUUCACCCAAAGCCUUGCUGGGUUUUGGCCACCCCCCAGGGUGGCCCUAUUGCCUCCUUUCCACCCCCAGACUCCUGGGUCUUCUCAUUACGGAGUGUGGGGCACCAGGCAAGAGGACAAACGUGGGCGUGGCCAGGAAGGAGAGGCCCAGACCUGCGGCUAGCUGCCCCCGGACCCCUCCACCUGGCUGCCUCAGAGCCUCUUCGCCUCGACUUGUCCCACACCCCAUGUCUCCCACCAAGCCUGCUUUCGCUCCGGCCGCCCCAUCUCUGUCCUUCGGCACCGCCGCCCAGCAGUCUCCGAGGCUGGACAUCUCUGCCACCUUGACCUGUCCCUCUCCCACCUCCCACACCCGCCACGGUGCCUGCACUUCCUUCCCCCUUUCGUUUCUUGUCUUGGCCCUUAGGAUAGCCUCUCCUGGGGCCGCCUCCUCACCUCCCUCCCAGCAGCCCUCUCCUUCCCGGGCACCCCAUGCUCCCACCAAACAGGACUUGCUAGUUUCUGCCACGCCUCGGACCCGUCCACUCUGUACAGCCCUCCUCCAGCUUCAACCUCAGCCACAGAGGCCCGUCCCAAAUGCUCCCUCCUCUGUGAUACUGUCCACGAUUCCCUCCAAGAAGGGUGGGCUUUCCCACCGCCUCGCAGUCCCGAGACUCUUGGGGCAGACUUCCUCCUCCCCGACAGCACCUUCCUUACUGUCCGUCUGUGAGCCUGUUUUCCAUACGAGGCUGUGAGCUGCUGGAGGAAAGGGUGCUUUCUUAUUGAUCUGCGUGUCCUCGGAGCGUGGCACAGCGCGCACUUUCCCGGUAGGGGCAGGAGAUGGGCUGUGUGAACGGUGAAUGGCAACCCGUCAGUGGGUCAUAAAAACAACUUAAAGUGGGUCACAAUCUGCAUUUCAAAAAAAUGAAAUACAACAGAAAACGCCAGAGCGCAUUGACGGUAGCUAGACCCAGCACCGUUUUGAGAAGUUUUAUGCACACACAUUCACACUUGGGUACAGACAAGAGCAUGAGGCAAAAACCAUGCAGUUUUUGCCCUUGGGUCACAGUGAUCAAAGCUCGAAAACCAUUAUUCUACUGAACAUCUCUCUUUGGUAAGGUGAGUCCCCUCGGCUCUGACGCCACUGGACGGGUGACAUAAAGGAGAGUCUCAGGAGAUAGACGGGACAUUCCCGAGCCCCUUCUCUGUGCCAGGAUUUCUAUUUGCUCCCCACGACCUGAGAGGUGGCUGCUUCACAGACCAGAAGGCUCCGGCUCGGAGCUAGGGGGUCAGACCAAGGGCCCGCAGCUAGAGUGUAGAAAGCCCGGCCUGGAACCCAGGGUGUCAUUCGCCAGCCCUUUCUAUUUCCAUGGCUCUGGUGCCACAAGCCGACAUCUGAGAGUCCGGUGGUGGGGGCCUGGGGAGCAGGGAGGGAAGCGGUAAGGUAUCUCCUGGGGAAAGGAUGAGGGUUCCCUCCUCCACCGCUGCCCUACCUGCCUCUGCGAUGUGAGGAGUCAGCGUUCAGUAAAAUCCCCUCCUUGCCCCGGAGGACAGGGCCUUGUCCCAAGCAGAAGUCCCGGCUGGCCUGGGCAGAGGGUGCUAGAGUUCUGGGGUCCGGAAGGGAGCCUGCCUCCUUCCUUCUUAAUUAGCAGGGGAGGGCGCCAGGAGGUAGGGCACAGCCACCGCUGUCUGGGGGCACUGCACACAGGACAAGUCUGCCCCCGCCCGGCUGCUAGGUCCUGCCGAUCAUCUGCCCACCCGCAGGUAGCCGGCCCGGACCCCUCUCCCCCUGUCCCGGCUCCCAGCCUCCCUCCAUCAUGAGCCGGCUGGUUGUCGGCCUGUCUCUCCCGCCAGGACCGUGAGCCCCUCAGGAGAAGGAACUGUGCUCGAGUCGCCGGUCCCUCCCACGGUCUGGCACACAGUAGGAGCUCAGGAAACAUCUGUGGAAGGACAGCGAGCGGGAGGGCAGGAGGGAAAAGGAAGGCGAGGAAGGGCAGGUGGGGCAGAGCUUGCUUCCCAGCUCCCGGAGACCAGGCAGCUCAGAGUCUGGGCUCAGGCCCUUCUGCCUCCUUUCUUGCUACCCGCAAGGAGACCACACUCGCUCCCAGGGCCCGUCUCCCUUAGGUUUGCACCCCUGCCCCUGGCUUGGGCCUUCCCUCGGGGGGGGGGGGGCGGGAAGAACACACUGCUCUCUGACUCAGGCUUCUGCCUCUGGAUUCGACCUGCUCCUACGAUGGUCUUCACCCUUCUAGAGCUCUCCAGGCUCCUCCUCGGGAAGUCCCACGGACUCCAUCAAAUCCCGUGAGAGCUCGGGUUAGAGGUGCAGGGGUAGGCGCUAGAGGCAGCUCUGCGCCUGAGUCCUGGUGCUGGCUGUGUGACCUCGUGCGUCGUCACCCGGGUUCUCCCUCUGGACAUGGAGCGGUAGCCUUGCUCAUGGGGGAACCUGAGAAAGAUGAUGUCUGUAAAGCGCCUGGUGUUGAGUAGCGCCCCUUUCUUUCUUUGUUUGAGGCCCGGUCCCUGGCUUCUAGACCACCUUUGCACCAAGCCAGCACCGGACUGCCCCCCGUCAGUGGUCGUGUGGCCUCGAAGGCUGGCACCUUCUCCUAGGGACCCUACCACCGCGGGCUGCCGGUCCCUCCUUAUGCAGCCAGCUGCCCUCCAACUGUGGUCCUGUUUCUAGUCUCCAGGACAGUCGCGGAACUCAGCUCAUUUACAGGUCACUGAUGUCUGACACAACUCGCACUCGGGAAACAAGGCGGC